rnacentral:rRNA from 1 species
CUCGUAGGCGGUCCGUUGCGUCUGCCGUGAAAACCCGGAGCUCAACUCCGGGCCUGCGGUGGAUACGGGCGGACUAGAGUCCGGUAGGGGAGACUGGAAUUCCUGGUGUAGCGGUGGAAAUGCGCAGAUAUCAGGAGGAACACCGGUGGCGAAGGCGGGUCUCUGGGCCGGAACUGACGCUGAGGAGCGAAAGCGUGGGGAGCGAACA